rnacentral:rRNA from 1 species
UAGGGAAUCUUCGGCAAUGGGGGGAACCCUGACCGAGCAACGCCGCGGGAGUGAAGAAGGUUUUCGGAUCGUAAAGCUCUGUUGUUAAGGAAGAACGAGUGUGAGAAUGGAAAGUUCAUGCUGUGACGGUACUUAACCAGAAAGGGACGGCUAACUACGUGGCAGCAGACGCGGUAAUACGUAGGUCCCGAGCGUUGUCCGGAAUUAUUGGGCGUAAAGCGCGCGCAGGCGGCUACUUAAGGCCAUCUUAAAAGUGCGGGGCUUAACCCCGUGAUGGGAUGGAACCUGAGAAGCUGGAGUGUCGUAGAGGCAAGUGGAAUUCCUGGUGUAGCGGUGAAAUGCGUAGAGAUUAGGAAGAACACCGGUGGCGAAGGCGACGUUCUGGACGACAACUGACGCUUAGGCGCGAAAGCGUGGGGAGCAAACAGG